rnacentral:rRNA from 1 species
CCUACGGGUGGCAGCAGUGGGGAAUAUUGCACAAUGGGGGAAACCCUGAUGCAGCGACGCCGCGUGCGGGAAGACGUAUUUCGGUACGUAAAGCUCUAUCAGCAGGGAAGAAAAUGACGGUACGUGACUAAGAAGCCCCGGCUAACGACGUGCCAGCAGCCGCGGUAAUACGGAGGGGGCAAGCGUUAUCCGGAUUCACUGGGUGUAAAGGGAGCGUAGACGGCCAGGCAAGCCUGGAGUGAAAGCCCGGGGCCCAACCCCGGGACUGCUCUGGGAACUGGCCGGCUGGAGUGCGGGAAGGGCAGGCGGAAUUCCUGGUGUAGCGGUGAAAUGCGUAGAUAUGAGGAGGAACACCGGCGGCGAAGGCGGCCUGCUGGACCGCGACUGACGUUGAGGCUCGAAAGCGUGGGGAGCGAACAGGAUUAGAUACCCCGGUAGUC